GACGAACGCUGGCGGCGUGCUUAACACAUGCAAGUCGAACGGAAAGGCCCUGCUUUUGUGUGGUGCUCGAGUAGCGAACGGGUGAUUAACACGUGAGUAACCUGCCCUUGACUUUGGGAUAACUACAGGAAACUUGGUCUAAUACCUGAUAGGAGCUCCUGCUGCAUGGUGGGGGUUGGAAAGUUUCGGCGGUUGGGGAUGGACUGGCGGCUUAUCAGCUUGUUGGUGGGGUAGUGGCUUACCAAGGCUUUGACGGGUAGCCGGCCUGAGAGGGUGACCGGCCCCAUGGGGACUGAGAUACGGCCCAGACUCCUACGGGAGGCAGCAGUGGGGAAUAUUGCACAAUGGGCGGAAGCGUGAUGCAGAAACGCCGCGUGCGGGAUGACGGCCUUCGGGUUGUAAACCGCUUUCGCCUGUGACGAAGCGUGAGUGACGGUAAUGGGUAAAGAAGCACCGGCUAACUACGUG
rnacentral:rRNA from 1 species